rnacentral:miRNA from 1 species
AACAUCACUUUAAGUCUCUGCU